GAUAAACGCUGGCGGCGUGCUUAACACAUGCAAGUCGAACGAAGUUUUUCCUUCGGGAGUACCUUAGUGGCGGACGGGUGAGUAACGCGUGGGUAACCUGCCCUGUACAGGGGGACAACAGCUGGAAACGGCUGCUAAUACCGCAUAAGCACUUAGCACUGCAUGGUGCAUAGGGAAAAGGAGCAAUCCGGUACAGGAUGGACCCGCGUCUGAUUAGCCAGUUGGCAGGGUAACGGCCUACCAAAGCGACGAUCAGUAGCCGAUCUGAGAGGAUGUACGGCCACAUUGGGACUGAGACACGGCCCAGACUCCUACGGGAGGGAGCAGUGGGGAAUAUUGCACAAUGGAGGAAACGCUGAUGCAGCGACGCCGCGUGAGUGAAGAAGUAUUUCGGUAUGUAAAGCUCUAUCAGCAGGGAAGAAAAUGACGGUACCUGACUAAGAAGCACCGGCUAAAUACGUG
rnacentral:rRNA from 1 species